AUGCUAGCUAGUUCUUUAUCGGCAGUCGCGGAGAGUGCGUGUGAAAUUGUAUGCAGUGUUAUGCAUUUUACACUCAAUACAUCAAAAAUUGACGGAAUUUAGUGCCAGUGAGUUCGUGAGAUAAUUAAUUGUUAUUAAUCAUGUGCUACCUGUGUUGAAAACCAGGAUUUACUACAUCUCACGCUUUUACGUCUGCACUACAAGUAUUUGCCGUGCUUUGGAGUCCAUGAGUUGUGCAUUGGUGUCUAGCGGCCGAUAUUGAUGUUGUAUGACAACCGUUCUUUCACCAGAUUGUAGGUGUCUAGCGACCGAACCUGAUGCUGUAUGACAACCGUUCUUUCACCAGAUUGUAGGUGUCUAGCGGCCGAACCUGAUGUUGUAUGACAACCGUUCUUUCACCAGAUUGUAGGUACUAAAAUUCUCUAUCAUUUUCGGAUAUAACUUGUGGGUUUAUCCUUUGGGAAACCUACGAAAUUGCCCUUUUUGUGUUUUUGUUUGUCUCAUUUUUGCUGUUUUAGGUGUCUAGCGGCCGAAUCUGAAGUCGUAGGACAACCGUUCUUUCACCAGAUUGUAGGUGUCUAGCGGCCGAACCUGAUGUUGUACAACAACCGUUCUUUCACCAGAUUGUAGGGGUGUCUAGCGGCCGAACCUGAUGUCGCACAACAACCGUUCUUUCACCAAAUUGUAGUUUUUGGUGUCUAGCGACCGAACCUGAUGUCGUACAACAACUGUUCUUUCACCAGAUUGUAGGUGUCUAGCGGCCGAACUUGAUAUCGUAUGGCAACCGUUCUUUCACCAGAUUGUAGUUUUAGGUGUCUAGCGGCCGAACCUGAUGUCGUAGGACAACCGUUCUUUCACCAUAUGGUGUCUAGCGGCCGAACCUGAUGUCGUACGACAACCGUUCUUUCACCAGAUUGUAGGUGUCUAGCGGCCGAACCUGAUGUCGUACGACAACCGUUCUUUCACCAGAUUGUAGGUGUCUAGCGGCCGAACCUGAUGUCGUACGACAACCGUUCUUUCACCAGAUUGUAGGUACUAAAAUUCUUUAUCAUUUUCGUAUAUAACUUGUGGGUUUAUCCUUUGGGAAACCUACGAAAUUACCCUUUUUGUGUUAUAGUUUGUCGCAUUUUUGCUGUUUUAGGUGUCUAGCCGCCGAACCUGAUGUCGUACGACAACCGUUCUUUCACCAGAUUGUAGGUACUAAAAUUCUCUAUUAUUUUCGUAUAUAACUUAUGGGUUUAUCCUUUGGGAAACCUACGAAAUUGUCCUUUUUGUGUUUUUGUUUGUCUCAAUUUUGAUGUUUUAGGUGUCUAGCGGCCGAACUUGAUAUCGUAUGGCAACCGUUCUUUCACCAGAUUGUAGGUACUAAAAUUCUCUAUCAUUUUCGUAUAUAACUUGUGGGUUUAUCCUUUGGGAAACCUACGAAAUUGCCCUUUUUGUGUUUUUGUUUGUCUCAUUUUUGCUGUUUUAUGUGGCUAGUGGCCGAAUCUGAUGUCGUAGGACAACCGUUCUUUCACCAGAUUGUAGGUACUAAAAUUCUCUAUCAUUUUCGUAUAUAACUUGUGGGUUUAUCCUUUGGGAAACCUACGAAAUUGUCCUUUUUGUGUUUUUGUUUGUCUCAAUUUUGAGGUUUUAGGUGUCUAGCGGCCGAACCUGAUGUCGUACGACAACCGUUCUUUCACCAGAUUGUAGGUACUAAAAUUCUCUAUCAUUUUCGUGUAUAACUUGUGGGUUUAUCCUUUGGGAAACCUACGAAAUUGCCCUUUUUGUGUUUUUGUUUGUCUCAUUUUUGCUGUUUUAUGUGGCUAGUGGCCGAAUCUGAUGUCGUAGGACAACCGUUCUUUCACCAGAUUGUAGGUACUAAAAUUCUCUAUCAUUUUCGUAUAUAACUUGUGGGUUUAUCCUUUGGGAAACCUACGAAAUUGCCCUUUUUGUGUUUUUGUUUGUCUCAUUUUUGCUGUUUUAUGUGGCUAGUGGCCGAAUCUGAUGUCGUAGGACAACGUUUUUUUCACCAAAUUGUAGGUACUAAAAUUCUCUAUCAUUUACGUAUAUAACAUGUGGGUUUAUCCCUUGGGGAACCUACAAAAUUGCCCUUUUUGUGUUUUUGUUUAUCUAAUUUUUGCAGUUUUAGGUGUCUAGCGGCCGAACCUGAUGUCGUAGGACAACCGUUCUUUCACCAUAUGGUGAUAGCGGCCGAACCUGAUGUCGUAGGAUAACCGUUCUUCCACCAUAUUGAAGGUGUCUAGCGGCCGAACCUGAUGUCGUAGAACAAUCGUUCUUCCACCAUAGUGUAGGUGUCUAGCGGCCGAACCUGACGUCGUAGGACCACGUUUUUUUCCCCAAAUUGUAGGUACUGAAAUUCUCUAUCAUCUUCGUAUAUAACUUAUGGGUUUAACCUUCGGCAAACCUACAAAAUUAAAAUAAAAAUUCGGAAAUUUAAUUGCUUCAUAUCACAUCAUUUCUGUUAUUGCGUGCGUUGUUGUUUUCAACUUACGAACAUAGAUUGUCGUCCCUCCAACUGUGGGUCGGUUAUCAAUUGUCGUUCUUGUUUAGUCCGGCUUAGUCGUUCGUGCGCCGUGGUGUGGUGUGCACGUGUUUUGUUCAUUAAUCAAACUUCGUGAUAUUUGUUAGCGUUACUAAAGGUCUUAAUUCUGUAAUUAAUCUAGAAUUCUGUAAUUAAAUUUCUGUAAUAACAGACCAGUGUGGUGGUUGUUUGUAGGACGUACGUGGUGUCCGUCGGAUAAGUAUGCUCGCAUGGCUAAACAUAUUUAUUGUUCAUGUAUUAAAUUUAUGUGAUUGCACGGAGCUGUGUUUAUCAAUCGUGGAUUAAUUUUAUGUUCACCGGUGCGCGCGUGACCGUUGACAAUCAGUUAUCGUUUCGCACAUAAGAAAAACUUGGAUUUAUAAUUAAUUCCUGUAAAUGGACAACUUUGAUGGCCAGACAGAAUGUUUGUGAGUGCACGGAUUGAGUUUGCAAUAUCUUUAGCUGAAGUGUUGGAGAUUUGGGUAUUUUAAGGCAAGUUUUUACUACUCCAAAAUGUUCUAACUGUUGAUUAUUUUUAUUUAAAAAAAUGUAUCUAUUAUUAUUGUUCUCAGUAAAACACAAUGUAAAAUUACAA